rnacentral:rRNA from 1 species
GUGCCAGCAGCCGCGGUAAUACGGAGGGAGCGAGCGUUGUCCGAAGUUACUGGGCGUAAAGCGCGCGUAGGCGGGGAAUUAAGUGAGAAGUGAAAGGCUGGGGCUCAACCCCAUGCAGUGCUUCUCAUACUGGUUUUCUUGAGGGUGGUAGAGAGAAGUGGAAUGGCUGGUGUAGCGGUGAAAUGCGUAGAUAUCAGUCGGAACACCGGUGGCGAAGGCGGCUUCUUGGGCCAUUUCUGACGCUGAGGCGCGAAAGCUAGGGGAGCGAACGGGAUUAGAAACCCCUGUAGUCC